UACGUAGGCGGAAAAUUAAGUCAGUAGUGAAAUCCUGCAGCUUAACUGUAGAACUGUUAUUGAUACUGGUUUUCUUGAAUUUAGUUGAAGUAGGCGGAAUGUGUAAUGUAGCGGUGAAAUGCUUAGAUAUUACACAGAACACCGAUUGCGAAGGCAGCUUACUAAGCUAUGAUUGACGCUGAGGUACGAAAGCGUGGGGAGCGAACAGGAUUAGAUACCCUGGUAGUCC
rnacentral:rRNA from 1 species